rnacentral:rRNA from 1 species
ACUCGGCAAAUAUUAUUUUUACCUGUUUAACAAAAACAUGUCUUUUUGUAUUUUAAUUUAAAGUCAGGCCUGCCCUAUGAUUAAUUUUAAUGGCCGCAGUAUAUUAACUGUGCAAAGGUAGCAUAAUCAUUUGUUAUUUAAUUGAUAACUGGAAUGAAUGGUUUUAUAAAAAAUAUUCUUUUUUUAUUUUUAAUUUAAAAUUUUAUUUUAAAGUCAAAAAGCUUUAAUUUAUUUAUUAGACGAUAAGACCCUUUAGAACUUUAAUAUUAUUUUGAAUUAUAUUUUUAGUUUUAUAAAUAUAAAUUAAUUGUAUAUUUUUGUUGGGGUGACAGUUAAUUUUUUAAAACUUUAAUUUACAUUUAUUCAUAUAUUUAUGAUUUUUUUGAUCCAAUAUUUUUGAUUAUAAGAUUAAGUUACCUUAGGGAUAACAGCGUAAUUUUGUUGGAGAGUUCUUAUUAAUAACAAAGUUUGCGACCUCGAUGUUGGAUUAAAAUAAUAUUUUGGUGUAGAAGCUAAUUUUAUUAGUCUGUUCGACUAUUAAUUUUUUACAUGAUCUGAGUUCAAACCGGCGUAAGCCAGGUUGGUUUCUAUCUUUAAUUUUUUAAUAUAAUUUAGUACGAAAGGACCAAUUAUA